AGCUAAACAAGCCCUGGCCUGGAGAUAAGCAACACUGAAACAAUUGCCGACCAUCUACUGCCAGACACCAACUAACUGGCCUCUUGCAGACCAUCUACUGCCAGACACUAACUGGCCUCCUGUUCCACCAGCCAUAACUACACUUUUGAUCGGACAAGAGACUGAUUUCAGUAACUCUCCAGAGCCUAUGGCUAUUUGUGGAAUCUGCAGUUGCUUGCAGGCUGCAGAUCCUGUCUUUAUUAAGGGUGACCAGCAAAGGAACUGAGCUGGAAGAGACCAGCAGGGAGAGGUUGCAAUCUCCAAAAGAGCUACCCCAAGCAACCCAGGAAGCUGCUCACCACAGGACAGAAAGACAAGGGAGGUAUUCCCAAAGGGCUGCUGGGCAUGCCCAGCCACCCCACAAUGGGUGGGAGAGGGUGGGCCAGCAGGUGGAGGAUUCUCAGCACAGAAGGAAACCAGAAGACUUCAGGGAAGCUGGAGGAGGCCAUGGGAGAGGGGAGUGGUGACCUCAUAUAUGAGGGGAGUGGUGACCUCAUAUAUAUGAGGGGAGGGAAGCAUGCUCAGGUAGUGAGGACAGCCGUGGACUCUGGGCACGGGUCACCCUGGGUACCUUGAGCAAGUUACUUCACCUCUCUGAAACUCAGUUUCCUCAUCUGUAAAAUGGGCUGAUCAUCCCCCAUGGUGUCAUUGCAACCAUUAAAUGAGAUAAUGAAAAUGAUGAAAUGCUUUAUUUAUCUGCACUAUCUUAUGUAGUGUGUAUUAAAUAUCUAGCACAUAGUGAACACGGCAAAAGCACCUUAUUAUUAUUGCAAAAUUUUUUAAGUUGCUUCAAUUUGCUUACCCUUUCCACUUGGCUUUUCCUCUUUUAUCUCCCUCAUCAAUCAGCGCUGUGCUAUAACCCCAAACCUCCCUGCCCAAGGUGCCUGUAGAGUCUUCCAGCCCAGAACAACCUAGGGGAGGAUGAGGUGGAGGUGUGGAGUGUGUGUGUGUGGUGUGUGUGUUGGGUUUCCUGUGAGCCAUCAGAACUUGUAUAGAAGUCUGGGUGGGUAUGUGCAUGAUGCAUUUUCUCUGAGGAAACAGUCAUAGAUUCUCAAAGUAGUGACCAAAACAAAUAAAGGCUAGGAUCCACAGAAGUAAAAUGUUAGAUCUUAAUGCAAUAGUCCUUUCUCGGUCUGAAAAGAGGUCUUAGCGAGAGGGCAAUGUUUAACACCGAGAAAUGGCU
rnacentral:lncRNA from 1 species